ensembl:snRNA U6 U6 spliceosomal RNA
GUACUCGUUUGGCAGCACAUGUACUAAAAUUGGAAUGAUACAGAGAAGAUUAGCAUGGCCCCUGCCUCAUAAGGAAAAUUCGAUACAAGUCUUUUGUCCACUAUUG